UAAUAAGAAACAAUAUUUGUAUUUAGUUUCGACCUAAAAUUUUGGUGUUUAUUCACCCUUAUUUU
rnacentral:tRNA from 1 species